rnacentral:sRNA from 1 species
ACCUACAACAAGUUAUCAGCAUGCUCUUGCUAGAAGCUAAGGAACUGAAAGAUCGUGGAGGAGGCUUACUUCUACAACAUCAAAGGCUUUUAAUUAUUUUCUACCAAUCAGGACAUGUCGAACUUGAACAAGCUUGAUUUCAUCGCUCUGGAAGUCUCUGGAAGAAACUACCUAAAGUGGGUUCACGAUGUGCUCCAUCUUACUGCAAAGAGUCUUAGAGCUACUAUCGAGGAACCAAUCGACAAUGCACCCAUCGACGAAGCUCAGAAAGCUAAUGCUAUGAUUUUCAUCUACAGACACAUCCAUGAUGCACUGCAGACUGAGUACUUCACAGAUGAGGAUCCACGUACCCUCUAGCUCGCUCUGGCCGAUCGCUUUGAUCACUAGAAAGACAUUUACUUGCCUGAAGUAAGACACGACUAGCAGCAUCUACACUUGCAAGGCUUUAAGUCUAUAAAUGAAUACAACUCUAAAAUUUGUAGAAUCUGAGCACUACUUAAGUCAUGGAGAAGACCUACUUGACUUUCAAUGCCACCAAUAUUGUCCUGCAACAACAUCUAGGGUACAGAAGUCACCAAAUUUUC